CAGUAGCCACGGUAAUACGGAGGGUGCAAGCGUUACUCGGAAUCACUGGGCGUAAAGGACGCGUAGGCGGAUUAUCAAGUCUCUUGUGAAAUCUAACGGCUUAACCGUUAAACUGCUUGGGAAACUGAUAAUCUAGAGUAUGGGAGAGGCAGAUGGAAUUCUCGGUGUAGGGGUGAAAUGCGUAGAUAUCGGAAGGAACACCUGUGGCGAAAGCGGCUCACUGGACAUUUACUGACGCUGAUGCACGAAAGCUAGGGGAGCAAACAGGAUUAGAUACCCGUGUAGUCCCUGUCUCUUAUAC
rnacentral:rRNA from 1 species